AGGAAAUUUCGCCCAAAUAUUUGGCCAAAUAUUUCGCCCUAAAUAUCCCGCCUAAUUCUCUUAUCCCUGCUCCCACGAUUGUCAGAUUCCUUACACAACCGACUCAACCUAACACUCCCAAAAAUCAACUGCUCGGUGUUCACUGAAACUUCAAAACAUAAACCCCUAAAUCCCCAAAUGCGUUUUCCAGGAGCCAGUGUUCUUCGUUUUCCCUAAAAUCCCAAAUUCGUUUUCCCUAAAAAAUAAAUCAAUAGAUGCUUAGAUAUUUCGUUGCUCUUGAUUCUCUCCCAAAUUUCUUCAUAGAUUAUCCUAAUUUAGUCGAAAAUGAUUGAAUUUCUCAACUUGUUUAUGCUUAGUUCGUAGCCUUGGGGGAUUUGUUCGAAAAAAACCCGACUUUUGCUGAGAUUUGUUUGAGAGAAGAACGAUUUCUGCUGAGAUUUGUUCGAGAGGAGACCGAUUUCUGCUUACUGGUCUUGAUGGUCGUUGGAGCUGGACGGGGGCCUCUUGUCAGAGCAUCUUUAGAGGUUGGUCCAGAUAUGUAUCUGUGCGAAUUCGCUGCCCGCUCGUACUGCUUGUCUUUUCUUGUGUUGCUGGAAGAAUGAGCUCUUGGUUAGGUAAUAUCCUCUUAUCCAAAGGCCCGAAAACAAGAUAAACCUCUUUGAAAGGGAUUCUUUAUUUCACUAAAAAAUUAUGAAAGAAAGGGGAUUUGCCACUGCAGGGACAUUAUAGCAGUCAUUUAUCAAAAAAUAACUUGCCGGUUCUGUUGAGCUAGUAACCCCAGAUUAUUGACGAUUAAGUGGUAAUAGUAAAUGUAGAUCAAGAGAUGAACAAGUUAUCUUGAAGCUAAGCUAGCAUAAAGAUAGGUUUACUAUAAUUAGUUUGUUCGUAGUCAGGAAGUUGUUUUUAUUUAGUUUUGGACUAUCUUGUAGAAAAAAUGAUGCUAGUUAGAAAGUUAUUUUUGUUUUAAAACUCUGCGAAUUAAUUUAAUGUAUAAAUUGUUAUCAUUUUUUCUAAAUUAACUAUGUUAUCGCUAAGUAUAUAUGAAUCAAAGUAUAGUAUGACGUGGUUAUAUA